rnacentral:rRNA from 1 species
UACAGAGGUGGCAAGCGUUGUUCGGAAUUACUGGGCGUAAAGCGUGCGCAGGCGGUCUUGUAAGCCAGAUGUGAAAUCCCCGGGCUCAACCUGGGAACUGCAUCUGUGACUGCAUCGCUGGAGUGCGGCAGAGGGGGGAUGGAAUUCCGCGUGUAGCAGUGAAAUGCGUAGAUAUGCGGAGGAACACCGAUGGCGAAGGCAAUCCCCCUGGGCCUGCACUGACGCUCAUGCACGAAAGCGUGGGGAGCAAACAGG